rnacentral:rRNA from 1 species
ACGCUCGACACCUACGGGAGCAGCAGUCGGGAAUAUUGCGCAAUGGAGGAAACUCUGACGCAGUGACGCCGCGUGCAGGAAGAAGGUUUUCGGAUUGUAAACUGCUUUAGACAGGGAAGAAAGAAAUGACAGUACCUGUAGAAUAAGCUCCGGCUAACUACGUGUCAGCAGCCGCGGUAAUCUGAGCGGGCUGGCAAGGC